rnacentral:rRNA from 1 species
GAUGAACGCUGGCGGCGUGCCUAAUACAUGCAAGUCGAGCGAACAGAUGAGGAGCUUGCUCCUCUGACGUUAGCGGCGGACGGGUGAGUAACACGUGGAUAACCUACCUAUAAGACUGGGAUAACUUCGGGAAACCGGAGCUAAUACCGGAUAAUAUAUUGAACCGCAUGGUUCAAUAGUGAAAGACGGUUUUGCUGUCACUUAUAGAUGGAUCCGCGCCGCAUUAGCUAGUUGGUAAGGUAACGGCUUACCAAGGCAACGAUGCGUAGCCGACCUGAGAGGGUGGUCGGAAACCGGGAACAGGAAACAGGCCCCAGCCUCCGCGGGGGGGCGGCAGGGGGGAUUCUUCAGGAAGGGGCAAAGGCCGGACGGAGCAACGCGGGGGGGGUGAGAAAGUUUGUCGUAGCGAAAAACUGUGUUAUGGGGAAAAAAAAAAUGUGAAAGAAAAAAUGCACGUCUGAAGGGUCCCUAAUAAAAAAGCCACGCCUAACUACGGC